rnacentral:rRNA from 1 species
UUGGGAAUCGUUCACAAUGCGCGAAAGCGUGAUGACGCAAUGCCGCGUGGAGGAAGACGGCCUUCGGGUUGUAAACUUCUUUUCCCAAGGACGAUUAUGACGGUACUUGGGGAAUAAGGGCCUGCUAACUACGUGCCAGCAGCCGCGGUAAUACGUAGGGCCCGAGCGUUAUCCGGUAUUAUUGGGCGUAAAGAGUACGUAGGCGGUUAUGUAAGACAGUGGUUAAAUCUCCGAGCUCAACUCGGAACCAGCCGUUGUGACUGCAUGACUAGUCGGUAGCAGGGGCAAGCGGAAUUCUCGGUGUAGGAGUGAAAUCCGUUGAGAUCGAGAAGAACACCAAUGGCGAAGGCAGCUUGCUAGGUUACUUGAGACGCUGAGGUACGAAAGCGUGGGGAGCGAACGGG